UGUUUUUAUAUUGGCAGUUGAGUAAGAUUACUUAAUAAUUUGACACCUGAUCUCUGCUUAGUUGAGCACCUGUGGGAGAUUUUAGACUGUGAUCACCACCACUAUCUUUUGGAAGAAUGGCCUGUUGCAGAAAUCUGCCAAGUGUGCGCGCUGGAGCUGUUCUGGCUGCUAGUGGUUGGGUCAGCUUUGUUCAGUAAAGCUUUACUGGCAUCACAAUGUCCUGCAGGUAGUCUUAGAAACAAGUAGCACUGGCCCUCCGGAUCACGGAAGCACGUUUUAGAACAUGUUAUAUGAGGAAAUAUGUGGACGGCAUGGGGUGCGGGCCUAAUCUUGUAGUGCUGACGUUUAUGUGACGUCGGUACUGAAGGCUGUGAAACCGGAAGUUCAAAUGUUCCCCGGGGCACGACUCAGGCGAAAACAAUGAAAGCAAUAAUUCAGAGGGUCACUAAAGCGAGCGUAACGGUCGGGGAGGAACAGAUCAGCUCCAUCGGGAGAGGGCUUUGCGUUUUGCUUGGGAUAUCAGCAGAGGACACGCAGAAAGAUGCAGAGUACAUGGUGCGCAAGAUUCUGAACCUACGUGUAUUUGAGGAUGAGAACGGCCGAGCAUGGAGUCACAGUGUAAUGGACAAGGAACUGGAGGUGUUGUGUGUGAGUCAGUUCACACUGCAGUGUAUUCUCAAAGGCAACAAGCCUGACUUUCACUUAGCCAUGCCUGCUGAAUUGGCCCAGCCCUUUUACAACAACAUCCUGGAGCAGAUGAAGAGUGCUUACAAGCCAGAGCUCAUUAAAGAUGGUCAGUUUGGUGCCUACAUGCAGGUGCAAAUCCAGAAUGAUGGACCUGUCACUAUUCAUUUAGAGUCUCCUACUAAACCAACAGAUGCUAAACAGCUUUCAAAACUAGAAAAACAGCAGCAGCGUAAGGAGAAAACGCGACCGAAAGGCAGCUCUGAGUCAGGAAGGGAGAAGGGUGCCUUGCGCUCGAAAGCGGACCCCAAUGCCAGCAGUGGAGCAGAGGGUGAUGUGUCUUCAGAAAGGGAACCAUAGCUGAGGGUCUCCCAGAUUUUGCCUUCUCCCAGUUGAGAUCUGGACCCAUUGAUGGCCUUUUCAGAACAGUCCAGAACCAUUUCCAGGAAGGUGUGCUUGGGACUGACGUGUCCACUCUCUAGACACACGCUGCCACAUUCAGGGACUCUAAACAGCGUAGCGCAAUUAAACAUGACUCGCAUAAUGACAUAAGGUCAUUAUUCAGCCAUCUCCUUUCACCCUUUCAACCAAAUCUACAACCUUAAUUUCUUCUGAACCUAGGGAUGUAUCUAAACAGGAGGAGGAGGAGGAGGAGGACGGUGUGAAAUUGAGCAGGAUAUACCCUCACCACUCUUUGUGCUGCUUUUGGAGCAAAUCAUUUAUUGACGAUAUGUGUACCAUUAGAAUGAUCUUGAAUGUAUGCUUACCUGUGAUUUUAAUGAAACGGACAUCUGCACCUGAAAAGAUGGAGAGAUGUCUUUAUUUAAAAAAAAAAAAAACUGUAUAAAAAAUAAUAAAUACACCAUUGUACACCAAGUUUAAAA